GAUGAACGCUGGCGGCGUGCCUAAUACAUGCAAGUCGAGCGAAUGGAUUAAGCGCUUGCUCUUAUGAAGUUAGCGGCGGACGGGUGAGUAACACGUGGGUAACCUGCCCAUAAGACUGGGAUAACUCCGGGAAACCGGGGCUAAUACCGGAUAACAUUUUGAGCCGCAUGGUUCGAAAUUGAAAGGCGGCUUCGGCUGUCACUUAUGGAUGGACCCGCGUCGCAUUAGCUAGUUGGUGAGGUAACGGCUCACCAAGGCAACGAUGCGUAGCCGACCUGAGAGGGUGAUCGGCCACACUGGGACUGAGACACGGCCCAGACUCCUACGGGAGGCAGCAGUAGGGAAUCUUCCGCAAUGGACGAAAGUCUGACGGAGCAACGCCGCGUGAGUGAUGAAGGCUUUCGGGUCGUAAAACUCUGUUGUUAGGGAAGAACAAGUGCUAGUUGAAUAAGCUGACACCUUGACGGUACCUAACCAGAAAGCCACGGCUAACUACGUGCCAGCCGCCGCAGUAA
rnacentral:rRNA from 1 species